rnacentral:rRNA from 1 species
AUUGAACGCUGGCGGCAUGCCUUACACAUGCAAGUCGAACGGCAGCACGGGAGCAAUCCUGGUGGCGAGUGGCGAACGGGUGAGUAAUAUAUCGGAACGUGCCCAGUCGUGGGGGAUAACGCAGCGAAAGCUGUGCUAAUACCGCAUACGAUCUACGGAUGAAAGCGGGGGAUCGCAAGACCUCGCGCGAUUGGAGCGGCCGAUACCAGAUUAGCUAGUUGGUGGGGUAAAGGCCCACCAAGGCGACGAUCUGUAGCUGGUCUGAGAGGACGACCAGCCACACUGGAACUGAGACACGGUCCAGACUCCUACGGGAGGCAGCGGUGGGGAAUUUUGGACAAUGGGCGCAAGCCUGAUCCAGCAAUGCCGCGUGCAGGAUGAAGGCCUUCGGGUUGUAAACUGCUUUUGUACGGAACGAAACGGCCCUUUCUAAUACAGGGGGCUAAUGACGGUACCGUAAGAAUAAGCACCGGCUAACUACGUGCCAGCCGCCGCGGUAAGAC